AUCGCUCCCUGGUCCCCACUCCUUCCGCUGUCAGUAGCACGCCCUCGGUGACUCUACCACCUUCGGUAGACCUUGUUCGAAUUGGCCGCUCGAGCCCUGGGUUCUACUGAGGAGAAACCCAGCUUGGCAUUAAGGCCUCUGCCCUGGGUGACUCCUGCCUCCCCCCUUUCCCCCCUGCCGCCUGCUCUUCGGCUCAACAGAGCUCUUGUUCUCUCCCUGGAAACAAGACCCUUUCUCCCCAGAGACUGCCUCCGGCUUUGGAAGAAGCUUCCAGUUGCGUACUUUCCGCCUGCAUAAACCACGCUAAUCCCUCUGCUGUGACAUUUCCAAUGGUGUAUUGGUGAAGGGGCAGUCGCGCCUGUUUGGAAGCUGAUGAGAGUUAACAGUCUAGGAAAUAUAACUCACCUAUUUAUUUCACAUUCUAGUGUUAAUAUGAAGUUGCCUUGUCUCUGUCUCAGCUUCUCUGUACAAUGAAUAUCCAGCCAGAAAGUCAGCUAUUCCUUUAUUUCUGGGUUUUGCUUUUCUUCACGAAGAAGGCAAUCAAAAAGAAAACUAUUAAGGAAUUGGACCAGGAACUUCCAUUGGAUGCACACAAAUUAAUGAAGUCCUAAAUAAAAGCCAUGGAAGGAGAAAACCAAAAACCUUUUUUUGGGGAAGAGGGUGGGAUAGAUGUAUGUGGAGGAAGCGAUGUAGGGAUGAGAUGGUUGAAGGGGGAGUAUGAUUUUGUAGUUUUAAAAUAAGACUUGCCAACCUGCUAAUUAUAUAUAGUAUCAGAAAAUGCCAAAGAUGUUCACUGUUUGGAAAACACAUUUGAAGUAACUUGCAAGUACACUCUAUUUUCUUUUCUUCUUUCCUCUUUGUGGGAGGGGGUAUAUUGGGCAUGUACUUUACAAGAAUUAAAAAAAAAAUUUAAAGAAAAAAACAUUGCCCAUAAUUUCACCAACCUACAGUCAUACUAUUUGUAUGCACAUGAUGUUUCCACCUUUGUAAACUUUAUUUAGAUUCAGUUUUUCAAUUCUUUUCUACAUUAUUCUCUUAUUAUUUCAUUGAGAAAGUUUCAAUGUUUUAAAUGGUUAAUAAUAAUGGUGCAAUAAAGA